rnacentral:lncRNA from 1 species
AAGAAUAAUCGGAGCUUAAAGAGAGAAAUAAUAUAUACUACUACUGAAUGCGUAUUACAAUGUGUUAAGAACUAUCAGACCCCCUUUAUAUAGUAGAGGAGUCCUAAUUUAUUUACAAUUCUAUAAAAGGUAGAAAAACUCUCUUGAUUUGGUGAUUGUCGGUCCCUUAUUGAUAAAUGUCGAGAUUCCCGCCGUAAUAUCCGGUUGGUCAUGGAUGUUUAUGUCUUCUGUUGGCUAUGCUGACAAUAUUGCUUCGAGCUCGUUCGGGAUUAUAAUUGUUUCCGAGGUCACGACCUCGAUAUUCUCGAAGGCAGACGUUCUAACGCCGUGUUAUGGCCUGAUGAGACUUGGGGUCGAUCUUCAGCCAUUUAUUGCUAUCUUCCGAGCCUGACC